rnacentral:snRNA from 1 species
AUCGCUUCUCGGCCUUUUGGCUAAGAUCAAGUGUAAAUUUCACUGUUCCAGGACUUUAACAAAUUUUACAAUGAUUUCUCUCUUUAACUCUAACAUGGCUCUCACAGCUUUUCACUUAGCUUUGCUGCUAGUAUCAUU